CGGGUGGCGGUCGUGGCGUGACUUGGCUUGCCAGCUCUAAACAGAGAAAGGAAAAGGGCGGAGAAAGGAAUAGGUUGACAAACACGAGAGAGAGGAGGCAGGCUAGCGUAGGAAGAGAGAUCAGGAGAGCGGUGUUAAAGAGGGCGAGCCGCAGAGAGAAAGGAGGAGAGAGAGAGAGAGAGAGAGAGAGAGAGAGAGA
rnacentral:lncRNA from 1 species